GAUGAACGCUGGCGGCGUGCCUAAUACAUGCAAGUCGAACGAACAGAUGAGGAGCUUUCUCCCCUGACGUUAGCGGCGGACGGGUGAUUAACACGUGGAUAACCUACCUCUAAGACUGGGUUAAUUUCGGCAAACCGGAGCUUCUACCGGAUAAUAUAUCGAACUGCAUGGUUCAAUCGUUAAAGUCGGUUUUUCUGACACUUAUAGCCGGAUACGUGUCGAAUGAGUUAGUUGGUAAGGUAACGGCUUACCAAGGCAACGAGGGGUAGCCGACCUGAGAGGGUGAUCCGACACACGGGAAAUGAGACACGGUACAGACGCCUAGGGGAGGAAGCAGUCGGGAAUCUUCCGCAAUGGGGGAAAGGCUGACGGAGGAACGCCGCGGGAGGGAUGAAGGAGCUCGGAUCGUAAAGCUAUGAUGGUAGGAAAGAAGAAAAGUGUAAUUAACUAUGCUCGUCAUGACGGUACCUAAAGAAUAAGCCCCGGCUAACUACGUG
rnacentral:rRNA from 1 species